CUCCAGACUCCUACGGGAGGCAGCAGUGGGGAAUAUUGCACAAUGGGGGAAACCCUGAUGCAGCGACGCCGCGUGAGUGAAGAAGUAUUUCGGUAUGUAAAGCUCUAUCAGCAGGGAAGAAAAUGACGGUACCUGACUAAGAAGCCCCGGCUAACUACGUGCCAGCAGCCGCGGUAAUACGUAGGGGGCAAGCGUUAUCCGGAUUUACUGGGUGUAAAGGGAGCGUAGACGGCAGUGCAAGUCUGAAGUGAAAGGCGGGGGCCCAACCCCCGAACUGCUUUGGAAACUGUGCUGCUGGAGUGCAGGAGAGGCAAGUGGAAUUCCUAGGGUAGCGGUGAAAUGCGUAGAUAUUAGGAGGAACACCAGUGGCGAAGGCGGCUUGCUGGACUGUAACUGACGUUGAGGCUCGAAAGCGUGGGGAGCAAAC
rnacentral:rRNA from 1 species